UAUGCAUCCACCACAUGAAUGAUACAUGAUCUCAGACGUAAUGAUUCAUCAACUUCAGAAGGUAGGGAAUGUGUUAUGCCUUUUAAAAAUAUAAAGUUGCAUAAAAUACCAAAAAUAAGAAUGAAAAUUAAAAUAUGAGAUAACGUGAAAGCCAAAGUGAGGCCCCAAAAAACACCUAUCUAUCUUGUAUCCAAAAGGUAGUACAUCUUUUAUACAGAACAUCCAACACAUGCCGGAGAUUACAAAUUAGUAGAAUAAACUAAAGGUCCAGCUAUGUAAGUACAUUGCUAAUUUGCUAUUUCCCACGUUCUUUCAUUAGUUUUUUUAAACAAAAAAAAUUAUAAAAACCGCACAUCAGGUAGUAGAGCAAAGUACAUUGCUAUACAUUAUAAGAAAAAAAUUCCAAUAACAUGUAAACACCUAAACACAUAAAUUGGAAAAGAAAAACAACCUCACAUCAAAAGAAAUUCACAACCUUGUGAACAUUAGAAACAAAAAACCUUCCAUAAUCCAUUGAACAUAGACAGGCUCAGGGUGAAAAUAAUAUAGUAAUAACCUAUUGUUUAAAAUAGGAAAAACAAACUUACCCAACAUUUGUUGGUCAAAAAAUACAUUCUGUACAUGUCAACUUGCAAAAUUGUGCCCAUGGAAAGAAAUAUAGUCCACCAGAUUAAUGAGCUUGAAAAUUAGUUUUAUGUUUGAACUCACAAUGCUUAUAUAGUAGAUAAUACUUGAAAUAGAGGUAUUUGGAUACGAUGGUGAAGUUGGAUUAGUCUCCUCAUUAACAUGGGUAAUUUCGACAUUUGACUUUGUCUUCUCCUCAUCCUUAUCAGUAGAAGUAGGAAUUUGAGAAACAACUUCUUUAGAUGCCUUCCUGGAAAUGAUGGCAACUUGUAUAUCUGCUUCAACUUCUUGGAACUGGCUUCCAAACAAGUCUACAAGCUCAUAAGGAAGAAUAAUAAGUAAGCAUUCUGUUGAUUACCAUUAGCAAAAUCGGAGAACUCUUGAAACUAUCGUUUAAUAUCCAUUCAAAACUUCUUGCUUCGAAUAUUAGUUUCUCAAAUAUUAAUUGUUCCAAUAUUUUUUUUGUUAUUAGCUAUUAGAUCUUGCCUAAUGGCAAAAAUUGAUGUCGUUUGAAACUCAUUUAUCGAAAUAAGAAAGAAUACAAACCAUUAUUUUUUUAGAAGAAAAGUAAAACUGAAAAGAGAAAUAAACCAAACUUCUCCAUUCUUCAACAUAAGUCUCAUUCUCCACCACCAUCACUGACACUGUCCUUUAAAACAAACAUUUAAAAAUCAAAAACUAAAUAGAAAAAAAACGAGGAAAUAUAAGAUCCUGAAAAAUCGGUGAACAAACCCAAUGCUACUCCUUUUAGGCUUGAUUCAAAAAGUCAAAAUUCAAUGACAGUAAAGCUUACACAAAUAUGUUUUAACUUUGAACCUUUUGAAGCUCUUUCCUUAUCGUUCUCUUCUAAGCCAGAAUCAAAAAUAACUUCUUACAAUUACUUUAUCCUUCAACAUAGAGAAUCUCCGACAAUAACUUACAAAAAAAAAAAAACAACAGAGUCCAAGAAAUCAAGAAAUUAGAAGAGGGAAGCAUUAAGACGUCAAAUAUAAAAAGAGAGGUCAGAUCGAAAGGAAAUAAAAAAAUCAAGAAAUUAAGAUGGACCAAAUCUAGAACCCGAUGUCGAUAAAUCCAAAAAAUUUCUUGAACAAACAAAUGUUCUUGCGUCGUUCAGGGUUAUUAUUAGGCUUCUUUUCAAACUAAGAAAAACGUAUACCUUGCAAUUCUCUUGGUAAGAAGAAGAGAGGAAUCAUGGGAAAAAGAGAUAGGGAGAGUGGAAGAAAAAUUACCUAGGUUUUAUCAGAGCAAGCAAUAGACAAAAGGACAGAGUUAAGAAGCCCUAUACAUAUCCGGUUCUUUAUCUUCUUCAUCAUAUCGUCGAAUCGACCACUUCUGGAAUACUUGCAAUCGGUAGAGUAAAACAGAGUUAUGGGAUAUGGGAUUCACAACAUGUGAGACUCUAAAGCAUUAACAGAAAACAAACAAAAUCAUCCUAAAAUAUAAACCUUUUAGUGCUCAAAUAGAAAACAAAAAGAGAUCUUACCCACAUUUGUGUGAGCCUCUAUUUAAGAAGCAAUAUCGAAAAAGGAAGGAUAAGAAAGAAAAUCAAGAUUUUUUUAGAAAAAACUAUCAUUCUUCAACCCGCCUAUCGUCCAUCUCACCUGCAACACAUCGAAACACCAAAUCAAAAUCAUUAAAAUGAAAGAAAAUCAAACUUUUUUUUUUCUAGAAAAAAAAAACUCAUUGUCUACGUCUAAGAGAGGGAGAAAAUCGAUUAGGGUUUAUAAGGGAAAUACUUCAUGGCGGUGAGAUUUAUAGUAGGGUUUAUAAGGCGGAGGGAACAAAGACGCAUCUGCUAUGGGAGAGGUAUUUGAAUCAGCUGCAGCUGCAGCAUUUAAAGGAUAUUUGUUGAAGAGUAUUAGGAUGAAAAAGUUUUAAAUUUUGA
rnacentral:lncRNA from 1 species